rnacentral:rRNA from 1 species
GUCCACGCCCUAAACGAUGUCAACUAGGUGUUGGGUGGGUAAACCAUUUAGUACCGGAGCUAACGCGUGAAGUUGACCGCCUGGGGAGUACGGCCGCAAGGUUAAACUCAAAGGAAUUGACGGGACCCGCACAAGCGGUGGAUGAUGUGGAUUAAUUCGAUGCAACGCGAAAACCUUACCUACCCUUGACAUGUCCAGAAGCCCGAAGAGAUUUGGGUGUGCCCGAAAGGGAGCUGGAACACAGGUGCUGCAUGGCUGUCGU